GACGAACGCUGGCGGCGUGCUUAACACAUGCAAGUCGAGCGGUAAGGCUCCUUCGGGAGUACACGAGCGGCGAACGGGUGAGUAACACGUGAGUAAUCUGCCCUUCACUUCGGGAUAACCACCGGAAACGGUGGCUAAUACCGAAUACGACCAGUCUUCGCAUGAGGUGCUGGUGGAAAGUCUUUUCGGUGAAGGAUGUGCUCGCGGCCUAUCAGCUUGUUGGUGGGGUAAUGGCCUACCAAGGCUUCGACGGGUAGCCGGCCUGAGAGGGUGACCGGCCACACUGGGACUGAGACUCGGCCCAGACUCCUACGUGAGGCAGCAGUGGGGAAUAUUGGACACUGGGCGAAAGCCUGAUCCAGCAACGCCGCGUGAGGGAUGACGGCCUUCGGGUUGUAAUCCUCUUUCAGUACCGACGAAGCGCCCUGUCGGGUGGUGACGGUAGGUACAGAAGAAGGACCGGCCAACUACGUG
rnacentral:rRNA from 1 species